UACGGGAGGCAGCAGUGGGGAAUAUUGCACAAUGGGCGCAAGCCUGAUGCAGCCAUGCCGCGUGUAUGAAAAAGGCCUUCGGGUUGUAAAGUACUUUCAGUCGUGAGGAAGGUGUUAAGGUUAAUAACCUUAGCAAUUGACGUUAGCGACAGAAGAAGCACCGGCUAACUCCGUGCCAGCAGCCGCGGUAAUACGGAGGGUGCGAGCGUUAAUCGGAAUUACUGGGCGUAAAGGGCACGCAGGCGGUUAAUUAAGUUGGAUGUGAAAUCCCCGGGCUUAACCUGGGAAUGGCAUUCAAGACUGGUUAGCUAGAGUCUUGUAGAGGGGGUUAGAAUUCCAUGUGUAGCGGUGAAAUGCGUAGAGAUGUGGAGGAAUACCGGUGGCGAAGGCGGCCCCUGGACAAAGACUGACGCUCAUGUGCGAAAGCGUGGGGAGCAAACGAGGGAUUAGAUACC
rnacentral:rRNA from 1 species